rnacentral:rRNA from 1 species
UUAACUCCCAAAAUACCAUUAAUUUUUAUGAACCCCUAAUUUAUAAUGAAUGACUCCAUAUUUAUAUGGAAGACACCAUGCUAGGAUUAGUAACAAGAAUUUAUAAUUCUCCAAAAUGCAAAUAUAAACCAACAUGGAUAGACCAUUGGUAGUUACCGAACCUAAAUUCAAUGCAAUAACAUCCACAAGAAAACUCUGCAGUACUCACUCGUUAACCUAACACCAGCGCAUUACAGGAAAGAUUUAAAAAAAGAGAAGGAAUUCGGCAAAUGACGGCCCCGCCUGUUUACCAAAAACAUCGCCUCUUGACUUAUAAUAAGAGGUCCAGCCUGCCCAGUGAAUUUUAAACGGCCGCGGUAUCCUAACCGCGCGAAGGUAGCAUAAUCACUUGUUCUUUAAAUGGGGACUUGUAUCAACGGCAUCACGAGGGUUUUACUGUCUCCUCUUUUUGAUCAGUGAAAUUGAUCUUCCCGUGAAGAAGCGGGAAUAUUUUUAUAAGACGAGAAGACCCCAUGGAGCUUUAAACCAAAUAACAACUUAACCACUUAUCCCAUAAUAAAUUUAAGCCCUGUUAUAAGGUUUUUGGUUGGGGUGACCGCGGAGUAAAGCACAUCCUCCACGACGGAAAGAACAGAAUCUUUAUUUAAGAACCACACUUCUAGAAAUUAGUAUACUAACGUUUACUGACCCGACAAUCGAUCAACGGACCAAGUUACCCUGGGGAUAACAGCGCAAUCUACUUCAAGAGCUCAUAUCGACAAGUAGGC